rnacentral:ncRNA from 2 species
AAAUCAAAUAGAGGUCGCAGGUAAUAAGAGUAGUUAGUGGAGCUGCCAUUCAGCUGAGAAACUAACCAAAGGGUUAGCUGCCGAAGUGCUAAGGAAUGGGCCUUAGUUAACUGGGACAUGACUUAAGAGGUCAUGGACUGUCGGGAUACAUGUCUCGGGGAGCUAUGAACAAA